rnacentral:tRNA from 1 species
GGCGGAGUAGCUCAGUUGGUGAGAGCAGCGGUAUAAUAAUCCGCGUGUCGGGGGUUCGAGUCCCUCAUCGGCUACCA